AUACGGAGGGUGCAAGCGUUAAUCGGAAUUACUGGGCGUAAAGCGUGCGUAGGUGGUUUGUUAAGUUAGAUGUGAAAGCCCCGGGCUUAACCUGGGAACUGCAUUUAAAACUGGCUAACUAGAGUUAAGUAGAGGGGAGUGGAAUUUCAGGUGUAGCGGUGAAAUGCGUAGAGAUCUGAAGGAACACCAGUGGCGAAGGCGACUCCCUGGACUUGAACUGACGCUGAGGUACGAAAGCGUGGGUAGCAAACGGGAUUAGAAACCCUAGUAGUCC
rnacentral:rRNA from 1 species